UCUUGCAGAAUCAGAUCUGAAAAAACAAAUUAACAACAGCAAAAGAGCCUUUAUUACAAUUUUUUUUUUUUAAAUUCAGAAAAAAUAUACACUAUAUUCAAUCUUUACCUUUUUGUGUCACCUCUGUGUUCAUGUCUCGACAGCCCAACACAUGGUGCUCCACCCAGAACAGAGAAACUGAAGGAUCCAAAGCAGCUGCUUUGAGGUGCACUGGAUCUGAGGGGGCAGUGAUCUUCUGCUCUAGCCAUUCACACACUGAUAGAGAUUCCAAGAAAUCUUUUGUUCACAGACGCUUGGAGACUCCUGACCAGACCAUGCAGGAAACAGACUCUUCUCUACCAACCAACCCCAACCUGUCAGACCUCCACCUCUCCCCUCAACUGUCACUCAGCACCAGAUCUCUGCAGGGCCACAUUCUCAGCUCCCUACUGGACGCCUGUAGCUCUGUAACUGUACAACAACACACCCAACUAAUGUCAUCGUGUACUAUGCCAGUGACACUGCUGUGGAGCCUGAGCACCAAUAAUUCUAUUCUAUUCUCUCUAACUAGAAAACCCAAAGUGAGGAAGCGUCUGUGAGGAGGAAAGCCAAGCUUCCACUGUGGUCGACCUACUUUCACAGGAGCCAACAUCCACAGAGGGGAAAAUGGCAGAAAAUAUGGAAACCCAGCCUCAAACACUCCAUGCAAAGCCAGGGUUCACAGGCACAUAAAGAAAGGAUGACUGUUUGCUGAUCUAUCUUCAACAGUUUAUCUGUGUGUGGGUCGAAGCAGAGGUGUUCCUUCCACACAGCUGCCUCAUUCAGGUGAUACUAAAAAUGUAAUAGCACAUUCAACAUGUUCUCAUUAAUGAACACCAAUACAAGCCAAGUACCGCUGACAGAACAGAAAGUCAUUAGAAAAUCAACCAUCUGAUAUCAGGAGCUAGCUUCUCCAGGUAAAGGUAGGGUCACCUGAUGUUUAGGUUGUAUACAUCGAGCACAUCAUGUUUUUUUAUUACUUUUUUUUGUUAUUGCAUUUGUUUUUAGGAGGGGGCAGGAGCACUGGAGUAGGAUGCUGAGACCUGAUAGGAGAGCUGUGUGUUGUGUGAAGAAAUAGAAGCUACCU